GGAUGUGACUCCAAACCACAGCUUGGUGAGAACAACCAGACACAGACAGGUCUCUCAGCAUGUUGCAAGCAUACUUACAUUCUACAACAUCCCUGAGAGGGAUCUCUGUUUAGGCAAGUGCUUCUGGUUUAUUAAAAGUGGAUGGUAAAAGGGGAAGAAAGCUGGAGUGUUUGGAUCUGUUUGCUGAAUGAAGUAUGGGAGCCUGUGCUAUGGAGCAUUCUGGAAGUCAUCUAAUCUUGCUUUCGACACUUCACAGGGUAAGAGUGACCAGUCAAAAGCCAUUUCUGGUGCCUUGGAUACUGUUUGUGGGAUCAAAAGGCCACUGCUGGUUGUGAAAUUCUGAAGACUGAGAUGUGGCUGCGUAUUUCAGAACAUGAGCUUAUGCUUCACUAAAACUUCACCUUGGAAGAAAAACAGAUGACUAUUAAGAAAAGUGACCUAGAUUAUUCUAAAUUAUUAAUAUUUUUAAUUCAUACAAAAAUAAGUGCUAACAUGCUCCUGAUCUAAGUUCCCUGAUUUAACAUGACAAUACUAAUUUAAUAAGUGGGCUGCACUGUAAAAAUAAGAUGCAAGCAUAGAAACCUCUGGUUAUCUCUUUUUGCUCUCACUUUAAAAAUACAUAUCAAUUACAUAUUUUCAAUGCUUUUUCCCCUUCAUUGUGAGAGAGGACUCAUCAGUGAAACUGAGAGCACAGCUUGGACUUAGAUAUUGAUUUCACAGAGGUAUCUUUGCUGAUUUUCUUUAUAGCAUUUUCAUUUGGUAUCAAAAUGAU